rnacentral:rRNA from 1 species
UGGGGAAUAUUGGGUAAUGGGGCGAAAGCCUGACCCAGCAACGCCGCGUGAAGGAAGAAGGCCCUCGGGUUGUAAACUUCUUUUACCAGGGACGAAGGACGUGACGGUACCUGGAGAAAAAGCAACGGCUAACUACGUGCCAGCAGCCGCGGUAAUACGUAGGUUGCAAGCGUUGUCCGGAUUUACUGGGUGUAAAGGGCGUGUAGGCGGAGAUGCAAGUUGGGAGUGAAAUCCAUGGGCUUAACCUCGGAACUGCAUUUGAAACUGUUGGUCUUGAGUAUCGGAGAGGUCAUCGGAAUUCCUUGUGUAGCGGUGAAAUGCGUAGAUAUAAGGAAGAACACCAGUGGCGAAGGCGGAUGACUGGACGACAACUGACGGUGAGGCGCGAAAGCGUGGGGAGCGAACAGGAUUAGAUACCCUGGUAGU